CUAACCGGACCGGGCGGCUUUGUUAGCUAUCCAGGUGGAUCUGGGAGUGUGCCUUUUGUGCGUCUCUGGGAAACGGGUAUAAAUGACCUUUCCUUUGGAUUUUGGCAACCAUGAAGUGCUACAAAGACCGGAGCUAUUGCAGCCUGCCACACCACAAGGGGAGACUGUCUGCCAAAUACAACCAGAUCCAAAGCUCAGCAGCAGUGUUGAGAUUAGAGUGGCACACCAAUUGUUUCAGUACCACUCACUCGGAAAGUGUUCCUAGACCAAACUCUGCAUACUAAGACGAAAGUAGAGAUGAGCUGAUGAGAUGAAAAUCCAAAGGCUGUCCAAGCUGAGUAAGCUGGCCUCACUGGCUAUGAAAGUUGUUGCCAUAAAUUCUGGGCUACUGCAACUUUGGAUCUCAGUCCUUUGGGCAGCAAAAGCAGGACCCCCCCAAGCUGACAACUAAUGAAAAGGAAGAGAAGCUUGUUGGUUUGUGUGGUGUUGA